rnacentral:rRNA from 1 species
AUUGAACGCUGGCGGCAGGCUUAACACAUGCAAGUCGAGCGGGGGAGGUUGCUUCGGUAACUGACCUAGCGGCGGACGGGUGAGUAAUGCUUAGGAAUCUGCCUAUUAGUGGGGGACAACAUUCCGAAAGGGAUGCUAGUACCGCAUACGCCCUACGGGGGAAAGCAGGGGAUCUUCGGACCUUGCGCUAAUAGAUGAGCCUAAGUCGGAUUAGCUAGUUGGUGGGGUAAAGGCCUACCAAGGCGACGAUCUGUAGCGGGUCUGAGAGGAUGACCCGCCACACUGGGACUGAGACACGGCCCAGACUCCUACGGGAGGCAGCAGUGGGGAAUAUUGGACAAUGGGCGGAAGCCUGAUCCAGCCAUGCCGCGUGUGUGAAGAAGGCCUUGUGGUUGUAAAGCACUUUAAGCGAGGAGGAGGCUCUUAAGGUUAAUACCCUUGAUGAGUGGACGUUACUCGCAGAAUAAGCACCGGCUAACUCUGUGCCAGCAGCCGCAGUAAAAC